rnacentral:rRNA from 1 species
GACGAACGCUGGCGGCGUGCCUAAUACAUGCAAGCAGAACGCUGAAGAGAGGAGCUUGCUCUUCUUGGAUGAGUUGCGAACGGGUGAGUAACGCGUAGGUAACCUGCCUUGUAGCGGGGGAUAACUAUUGGAAACGAUAGCUAAUACCGCAUAACAAUGGAUGACACAUGUCAUUUAUUUGAAAGGGGCAAUUGCUCCACUACAAGAUGGACCUGCGUUGUAUUAGCUAGUAGGUGAGGUAAUGGCUCACCUAGGCGACGAUACAUAGCCGACCUGAGAGGGUGAUCGGCCACACUGGGACUGAGACACGGCCCAGACUCCUACGGGAGGCAGCAGUAGGGAAUCUUCGGCAAUGGGGGCAACCCUGAACGAGCAACGCCGCGUGAGUGAAGAAGGGUUUCGGAUCGUAAAGCUCUGUUGUAAGUCAAGAACGGGUGUGAGAGUGGAAAGUUCACACUGUGACGGUAGCUUACCAGAAAGGGACGGCUAACUACGUG